rnacentral:rRNA from 1 species
UACGUAGGGUGCGAGCGUUAAUCGGAAUUACUGGGCGUAAAGCGUGCGCAGGCGGUUUUGUAAGCCAGAUGUGAAAUCCCCGGGCUUAACCUGGGAAUGGCAUUUGGGACUGCAAGGCUGGAGUGCGGCAGAGGAGACUGGAAUUCCUGGUGUAGCAGUGAAAUGCGUAGAUAUCAGGAGAAAUACCGAUGGCGAAGGCAGGUCUCUGGGCUGACACUGACGCUCAUGCACGAAAGCGUGGGGAGCAAACAAA